UCCCUAUUUGUAUCAUCUCAAGCAGCGGCAGGUAGGACCAAGACUCAGGGUCCGCAACAUGAGCCUCUGCAGCGAAUGGAAGGUGGGGGGGGGGCAGGUGGGGGCCGAGCCUGGGCAGAUAGCUGUGAGGUACGUUUCCAUCUCUGCGGGUCGGGCAGGCGAAGCCAUUUCCAAUCUGCUCUCUAUCAUUUUCAAUAUCAUUAAUCCCAGACACUCUAUUUUCCAUGCCUGCGCAGCCAGGCCCCCGAGUGUGCGCCGUGUAAAGUGACACAUAUUCAUCACCGGCUCGUGGCGCCGGCGCCGACGCUGAUACAAUAUUAGUGUUGCCCCCCCGCAUGGGGCCCGCUCCGCCCGGCUCCCCGAUGGCACGAAUCCAUCACCUGGAGCCCGUGUCACUUUCCCCAGCAGCCACAUUUGUUUGGGCACUUAGGAGGUAAUUGUGGCACAUUAGCCAGGGUGGGGAAGGGUAGGGCGCUGGGACUCUGCAAAACGGAAGAGAAGGAGACAUCUUCACAUACGACCCCAAGCCAUCCUGUCCUGGCCCAGCACCUGGCUUUGGCUAGGCUCCUAGAAACCUGAGUUCUUGCUCAGUUCUGCGUGGAAAGCAUAGAAAUGGACCCAGUGUUUGGGGAGGUAAUGUCUGGGCCUAUCAGGAAGUCUUAGAGGCCAAGGCUUAGAGGUGAUUGAUGGCUUCAAAGUCUUUUAUAGCCAACUUGAUCCUGUCCCAGCACUGAAACAGGAAUGGCAGCCUCAAUGCCUCUGGCUCUGUGUGGAGCAGGUGAGUGAACCCAGCUCUGAGGGAAACUCUGGCUCUGGCCUCAGAGGCUGGUUCCAAGAGUGGAGGCUCUUCCUCUAAGAGAGAUUACAGGGUUCAGUCCUCAGGAACCCUCAGUGUGUUAUGUGCAGUGGAUAUCACCCUGCCUCAUUUUUGUUUUGUUUUGUUUUGUUUUUUCGAGACAGGGUUUCUCUGUGUAGCCCUGGCUGUCCUGGAACUCACUUUGUAGACCAGGCUGGCCUUGAACUCAGAAAUCCACCUGCCUCUGCCUCCCAAGUGCUGGGAUUAAAGGCGUGUGCCACCACCGCCCGGCUCACCCUGCCUCAUUACUAGAAGUGGGUCAGUUCAGGGGUCUUCUGGGAAGACUGCCUGGAGGUGGUGAGCUGCAUGUAAGGUAGCCUCUGGGUACAGGGAGUCUGAGCACAGGAGAGAAGGGAAGAGCAGUAGCCAGGGCCAUUGAUCUGAGCAGAGGCCAGACCACGAAAGGGCAUGGGCUCUUUUUCCCUAGUCCGCAGGGAUAACACCCAUUAACCUCGUCAGUAGACAAAUUGCCCGUCUUGUCAAAUUCCCAUUUAAAAUGCAAACUCGAUUUGACAGGGUAAACUGAGGGGAGGUGGGAUCGGAUGGAUAAUCCAGUGGAGGCUCAUUAUCAGGGCCCAAUGAGAGGGGCCUUCUGGAUUGCCUAACGAACCUGCCGUGAUGAACCUCGCAGCCUGUUAAUAGCCCAUCCCCCACUCGAUACUCUGACUAGCCUGCCCCACGGCCCACCCCUGCCUGCCCAAAGUCUGGGGGUUCCCAGCUGUCCACCACUACCUCUGAGAUGGUCCAUCUGAAGGCUCUGCAAUUGUAGCCGAGAAUCUCUCUCUCUCUCUCUCUCUCUCUCUCUCUCUCUCUCUCUCUCUCCCUCUCUCUCUGUAACAAACCAGCCCUUCCCAUGUCUCACUGGGAUCCUGUACAUGGAUUACACUACUACACUUGGACUAUAGUUGUCUUGUCAGUUAGAAUUAUUAACUCAUUUCCAACUGAGAAACCAGAGGCUCAGGAGGCCAUCUUCCCGGAAGCAGAGUGUCCCCUCUGGGACAUCCAUCAGAUUCCACGCGUCAGGCUUGCCACUGCUGUCCUCUACUCUGCUUUGAUUGUGAAUGGAUGUCCUUUCCUCGGCCUCCUUCGUUUCAGUGCUGUCACUUUCUAUGUGAGGUCAGGGAAGGUGACAUCUUUUUAAGCCUCAUUUGUCCCAUCUGGUUUUUUCUUUCUUUUUUAUUUUUCUUUCUUUUCUUCUUCUCCCUUUUUUUUUUUUUUUUUUUUUAAGAAGUGAUCAACAGCUGAGACUUUGAGUAAAGUUUAUGGCUUAGUGAGCCGCUCCGGUGCUAUUUGCAGAUGGUUUAACCUAGGGUGGGCUUGGGAAGAGAGCGAAGGCUGCUUUCUGAGGAAGCAGCUACUGAACAGGCCCCUCCUGAUUUCCAGGACCAAGGACUCCCUGGGCUCAUAUGUCCUCUUGCCUUCUACAUUCCAUGCUCAGGCUACUACAAGAAGAAGCUCAUGGUCACUCUCCAGGCCUGGGGUGGAGCUGACAGGUUGUCCAUCCCAGAGGAGCAUCCUGGGGAAUGCCAGAGGAAGGUACUGCCGACUCUGCACCGUUUCCUGCCCUCUACUAUAAUUGGUCUUUUGUCAACGAUUCCUAAAUCAUAUAAUAGAUGAGAAGGAGAUGCAGAAGGGCAACUAUGGGUAGCUAAUGGUCUGUGGUUUCACCUUAUCUCCCAGGGCAUCAUAGCUCUGCUCCCAGACAGGUGCAUAUAGAGCCUCCAGCCAGGCUACAUUUGUCCCUGUGGCAACACGGGGAAUUACUUAUGCUGCCUGAACAAGCCUGGAGCUGGCACUCAGUGACCUUGGGCAGUGUCCUCUCUGGGUCUUAUUGGGGCACCACUUCUCAGUUUUAGCUCAGUCUCUGACAGUCCUUCCCAGGCACCAAGCCAUGGCUCUGUGCUUUCCUUUUAUGAUUUCUUACUUCCCCCAGGGGAGGAUUCGAAUCUCUCAGCUCGCAUUCAAGGCCCAUCUCAAUUUGGCCUCAGUUUAUCUUCCAUCUUUCUCAUGACAAUUUUCUGAACUCCCCUGUCUCAUGCACCAGCCUUGAGUUACCCUCAUAUCUUCAUUUGGUACUGUCUCUAUAUUCAGUAGCCCAGAAGAGUACUUCCUUUGACCCACUCUGUCCUUCCACACCUAGUUUUAUCAGUGGUCUGGAAAGGACCCUAGACCCUUUCUUGGUGGGUAUAUUGUGUGUUGGGGGGACUAAAGGGGAAAAGCAGAGAGAUAAAUGGAAUGCCCAGAGUCCCUCCAGUUGUCAGCCCAGCCAUCCUCUGAGGCUGGCCUAAUUCCCUUCAGAGCCCAGCUCCCAUCUUCAGGGUGGUGCUUUGGGAGCUGAGAGCCCAACGCUAAUGCCUAAGAAAAGUCGUGGAUGGAUUAGAAAGCUAGGGGGAUUAGGGCCAGAGCUGGUGGCUGAUGCAGGAGCUGAGCCCCCUCCUCCUGAGGAAGAGGAGGCUAAUCCUGCUUAGCGACUGAGGAGAAGGAGCUGCAGAGCUGGGGGAGCCUUCUUCAUCCACUGAAGCUGCCAGCCCCAGCAGGCAAAGAAGAAGAAGAAGAAGAAAGAUCACCAACCCUGUCUGCCCAUCACCCUUUGUUACCCUGAAAACUUUUCAACCUCCUGUAUCCACCCCCACUGCCUUGUCCAGCUACAUCCCCAACUAUUUUAAGUGUUUUUGAAAUUGUGUCACACACACACACACACACACACACACACACACACACACACACACACACACUGUCAGGUCAUGCCUGUAAUGAGGGUGUCAGUUCCCCUGGAGCUGGAGCCACAGGCAGUUGUGAGCCUCUGGUCAAGUGAGUUUGAAAUCAAAGCAUAAGAGUAGUAAGUGUUUUUAACCACUGGGCUUUUUCUCUACCUCCAUCCUCUAACUUUUGUAGCUACCUAUUUCUUCAUGCACUGAGCUAUCUGCUAUGUCCCAUUCGUCUAUCCAUGCUGCUCACUGUGUCUGUUAUAGGUGGCCUUGGGAGCUGUUAGGUUUAUUCAUUCCUGCAACUCCUGGGACUGUUUGCUGCUGACCACAUUUGAGUUCCUCCUCUGGAUUUGCCCUCAGCUGCUCCCCCAAGACCAUACUCUCCUCAGGGGUCCUCAGUCCCCAAGUCAGGCCCGAGGAGGAGGAAGAGGAAAAACAACGUGCAGCUGAUCCUCUAAAUGCACACCCAGAAUGUCUGGCUCUGGACGACUGAGGAUCUGAAGGCUGUGGGCUCCUGGACAGCUGGCAUUUUGGGCAUUACAGCACAUAGCUGCUCCUCCUGAAGCUGCAACUCUGCAAAAAAGAUGUCAUUUUCUUCAGGACAUUGUGUUUCUGCCCCACUUGUCCUCUAGGCCAUCUCUCUUGGCAUCAUCUGACCUCUUUAAGGAAACUGGGGAAGCCACUUUUCUUGUGGCCUCAUCCCUCCUGGAGCAUAUUAUACCAGAGCCCCAGUGCUUCUUGUAAAGUGGACAGUCAGAAGCCAGCAACAUCUACUGGUCGGAUUGGGACCUUCAGGGGCUUCCCCACCCAGUGUCUGGGUCUCAGGCAAGGAUUCAAUCCAGGAGAAUCUGGAAUGGAGGUCUGGGACCUGAGCCUGGGAGGUGGACAAUGUUUCUCAUGUACAACCUGGGGCAGGAAAUGGUUCUAAAAGACAGCUAUCCUCUUGUGUGCCAUAUAA